CCCUUAGAUGUUCUGGGCCGCACGCGCGCUACACUGACGAAUGCAACGAGCUUAUAACCUUGGCCGAAAGGUCUGGGUAAUCUCCAAAUUUCGUCGUGAUGGGGAUAGAUUAUUGCAAUUAUUAAUCUUCAACGAGGAAUGCCUAGUAAGCGCAAGUCAUCAGCUUGCGUUGAUUACGUCCCUGCCCUUUGUACACACCGCCCGUCGCUCCUACCGAUUGAAUGGUCCGGUGAAUUCUCCGGAUGGGUAGCUUGACCGCAAGGUUUUUGCCACUCAAAAGUUGUGUGAACCUUAGCACUUAGAGAUUGGAGAAGUCGUANCA
rnacentral:rRNA from 1 species